GAUGAAGAACGCAGUAAAUUGCGAUAUGUAAUGUGAAUUGCAGAAUUCAGUGAAUCAUCGAAUCUUUGAACGCACCUUGCGCCCUUUGGCUAUUCCGAAGGGCAUGCCUGUUUGAGUAUCAUGAACACCUCAACUCUUUAUGGUUUUCCAUGAAGGGCUUGGACUUUGGGGGUCUUGCUGGCCUUUAGUCAGCUCCUCUCAAACGAAUCAGCUUUCCAGUGUUUGGCAGCGUCACAGGUGUGAUAACUAUCUACGCUUGUGGUUUUCUGCCAGGUAAUCCUCAGUGAUGGGGAUUCGCUGGGGCUUAUAAAUGUCUCUCCUCAGCGAAGACAGCUUUGUGAACGUUUGAUCUCAAAUCAGGUAGGACUACCCGCUGAACUUAAGCAUAUCAAUAAGCGGAGGA
rnacentral:misc_RNA from 1 species